CGGAGGGUGCAAGCGUUGUUCGGAUUUAUUGGGCGUAAAGGGCGUGCAGGCGGUUUCGCAAGUCUGAUGUGAAAGCCCCGGGCUUAACCCGGGAAGUGCAUCGGAAACUGCGAGACUUGAGUACGGGAGAGGGCAGUGGAAUUCCCAGUGUAGGAGUGAAAUCCGUAGAUAUUGGGAGGAACACCGGUGGCGAAGGCGGCUGCCUGGACCGAUACUGACGCUGAGACGCGAAAGCGUGGGGAGCAAACAGGAUUAGAUACCCUGGUAGUCCACGCCGUAAACGAUGAGCACUAGGUGCUGCGGGUAUUGACCCCUGCAGUGCCGCAGCUAACGCAAUAAGUGCUCCGCCUGGGAACUACGGUCGCAAGACUA
rnacentral:rRNA from 1 species